UUUUCAUCCUGUCAUAUGUCAAUGACUAACACCAACAUUGGUAAAUAUGCAUCAUUAUUUUCAGUGUUAGAAUGGUGUUAGUAUAGGGAUUUAACAUUGUUUACAAUGGGCUGAUUUUAGUGGAUGGAUCAGAAUUUU